rnacentral:rRNA from 1 species
UACAGAGGGUGCAAGCGUUGUUCGGAAUUACUGGGCGUAAAGCGCGUGUAGGCGGCGGCAUAAGUCGGAUGUGAAAGCCCUCGGCUCAACCGAGGAAGUGCAUUCGAUACUGUGUUUGCUUGAGUACCGGAGGGGGAUGGCGGAAUUCCCGGUGUAGAGGUGAAAAUUCGUAGAUAUUGGGGAAGAACACCAGUGGCGAAGGCGGCUAACUGGUCCAGAUCUGACGCUGAGGUGCGAAAGCGUGGGGAGCAAACAGG